rnacentral:lncRNA from 10 species
AUCUUGAAAACGGAAAAUAAAAACAGCAGACCUAUGAAGGUCGAAGGGGAAGAAAAGCUGUAUCGAUUGUUGAGAUCUGGCGACUUGUUUAAAUUUCAUCAGCCUCACUUCUAUGAACUCUCAGAGCUGAUUACCAACUCCUACCACUGUUAACCCUCAUCCAGGAACAAGCUUAUGUCUUUAACAUUCUGAGUGGGCUUCAGCAUCCUUGCAUAUGUUCAAUUCUUAAAAACCUGUUGAAAUAAAAGAUCAGGAGACAUAGGAAGGAUGCCAGAAGAGAGCGUGGCCUCACGUGUACCAGCUCUCUGCUCUCCUUUGCCUUGGGACGUUCCAUCCCUGGAAGUUUCCCUGCCCACAUCUUUGUAGAGAGUCCAUUCUCCAAGCUUCAGUGUGUCAUCUGUGAGGACCGUGACCCACCUGGUACAUCGCCUCAGGGCAUUCAUUUCAGGCUCCUUCUAAAUGGCCAAGUCUUCUGCCAGCCUAACAAGCAUAGCAAGAAGAUAUAGCCCCACAACCACUUUAUGCACAAAGUUAGAAGCAUAAAAUCUCAUGGAAGGAGACCGAUUAUCUACAGAAGAGGUUGUCUUGCCAUUUCUCUCAUGUUAGAGGUAAACCUCAGGUUCUCCUCCUGCCUUUUGCUAAGUAUAUGUCUUGAUGACAAGCCUUCUGCUGAUGAGCUGUGUUUCUGGACCGAUCAUGGUAGAAGUCAAUUAACGUGUCCCUCACUUGGGGUUUCUCAAGGCUGCACUGAUGAGGAAACUGAAACAGAAAAUCCAGAGUAAAUUCCACCAGGCCACACAGCAAGGUCUGAUAGAGCCAGGAGAGACUUUAUGAAAUCCAGACUCUCACACUAAUGCUCUAUCAGCUAGACCUCCAUGUGAGU